GAGUACAGUGGCUUGAUCUCGGCUCACUGCAACUUCCACCUCCUGGGUUCAAGCAAUUCUCCUGCAUCAGCCUCCCCAGUAGCUGGGAUUACAGGCACGUGCCACCACACCCUGCCAAGUUUCGUAUUUUUAGUAGAGGCAGGGUUUCACCAUUUUGGCCAGACUGGUCUAGAACUCCUAACCUCAAGUGAUCCACCUGCCUUGGCCUCCCAAAGUGCUGGAAUUACAGGCGUGAGCCACCGCACCCAGACGAGAUGUAAAAAAUUUUAAAGCCAUUGAAUUAAAUUCAUUGCUAACAUUUUGAGCUUUGAUAAUGUAAUUCCUACUUUAAUGACUCAAAAAAAAAAAAACCCAAGUUACCUAUGUAUCUAAUAAUCUAUGUUUUCAUUACUCCUUUUCUUCCUUAUCUCACAAACCAUAAUCCAAUAGUCUGGGACAUAUGAAAGAGAAAGUAAACAGUCACAAGAACUACCUUACUUCGAGAAUCCACGUUGUUGAAAAAAUAAUAUAUUUUGGGCACUUGUUAAAAAGAAUUAACAGAAAAAGUCUUUUUUUUUUCUCUCAGGAACAUUUAAUUCAUGGUAUAACAGGAAUUUUACAUCAAAAACAGUAAGAAAAAUGAAGUAACGGUUGAGAUAGCAGUAUUUUGUCAACCAAAUACUAUAAUGAUGAAAACAUUACAAGAAGCUAUAGCCAGACCUGAGUGUUCUGCUUCUACUUAAUGCUAAUGAGCCCAGUCCUAGCACACAUCUUGGUUUGGUAGAAACUACAGGAGGUAGCAUGGUUCAUUAGACUUUCAAAACUUGAAAAUGUUAAAGAGAGUGGUUUCCCUCCUUCAUUUCAAAUGGAUUGCUAAAGGCACUGGGCUAUUCCUUGGUGGAACUUUGAAUUUGCCAGUUUCUUCAUUAAUUUUGACCUUUUUACAUUCAAAAAAAAGUUAACUUUACAUUAAGCCACUGCAGACUUAGACCUCCUGCAGUUCUGAAUUGUGCUUAAACAAGUAUUCAAGCACAUGAAUUUCUCAAGAAAAUUUGGGGACCGUAUCUGAGAAAAAAAAUUUGUAAAAUAUUCGUUGAGGACUAUAAUAUGCUAAAACUAAGGAACAAAAUUCUCUUGAUUGUUCUAAAAAUACUUAGCAAGAUCCACAGAACUCUCACAUCGUUUUCUAAGUAGUUUCAUAAAUGUGGAUUAUGGUUGCCCUGAAACUUGACAUCUCCCUAGCAAGUACUUGGCAAGUGACCUGGCAAAAAUGUGUUCAAUAGCUCAUUUUUGACAUACUCCUUAAGAAAUCAUUGCCAGAGAUUUGAAACUGCUU
rnacentral:lncRNA from 1 species